UGGUGGAGUGAUUUGUCUGCUUAAUUGCGAUAACGAACGAGACCUUAACCUGCUAAAUAGCCCGGUCUGCUUUGGCAGGCCGCUGGCUUCUUAGAGGGACUAUCGGCUCAAGCCGAUGGAAGUUUGAGGCAAUAACA
rnacentral:rRNA from 1 species